AUACAUGCAGUCGAGCGGACUUUUAAAGCUUGCUUUUGAAAGGUCAGCGGCCGACGGGUGAGUAACACGUGGGCAACCUGCCUGUAAGACUGGGAUAACUUCGGGAAACCGGAGCUAAUACCGGAUAAUAUAAGGAACCUCCUGGUUCUUUAUUGAAAGAUGGUUUCGGCUAUCACUUACAGAUGGGCCCGCGGCGCAUUAGCUAGUUGGUGAGGUAAUGGCUCACCAAGGCGACGAUGCGUAGCCGACCUGAGAGGGUGAUCGGCCACACUGGGACUGAGACACGGCCCAGACUCCUACGGGAGGCAGCAGUAGGGAAUCUUCCACAAUGGACGAAAGUCUGAUGGAGCAACGCCGCGUGAGCGAUGAAGGCCUUCGGGUCGUAAAGCUCUGUUGUUAGGGAAGAACAAGUGCGAGAGUAACUGCUCGCACCUUGACGGUACCUAACCAGAAAGCCACGGCUAACUACGUGCCAGCAGCCGCGGUAAUACGUAGGUGGCAAGCGUUGUCCGGAAUUAUUGGGCGUAAAGCGCGCGCAGGUGGUCCUUUAAGUCUGAUGUGAAAG
rnacentral:rRNA from 1 species